GAAACACCCUGCUAAAGAACAAGUAUCUUGAUUCACAGCAAAGAAGACAAAGAAAAACAGCAAGUUCUAGGGGGUUGAAUCCUGGAUUGACAGACCAUAUACUAUGAACUUGGUGAACUAGGAAAUUUCACACAAUAUGUGAGUAUGUCAGCUGGUAUUAUACUGAUUUCGUAGUUCCAAGGUGCUGAGUUUGCUCUCUCCAAGGCCAGCUGACCAGCUAGGUGGCAGAAGAAAGUGUGGGUCUCAGGCAAUCACUUGAAGGCCUUGAUUAAAACUGACUGACCUCCUGGAAGAAGAGGGAAUUCUGGCAGCAAACUGCCUUUGGACUUGAAUCGUGGCUCUGGCCUGAGUCUCCAGCCUAUUGUCCCACCCUGCAAGUUUUGAACUGGCCAACGCUCCACAAUUUAAGCAGUUAAUCAGCCCACUCUCUUUCUUCACAUCCUGUUAUCUUGGUUUCUCUGGAGAACCAUUACAAACA
ensembl:lncRNA